CGUUCUGUUGCGCAAUGGAUAGCGCGUUGGGACUUCUAUUCCAAUGGUCGUGGGUUCGAAUCCCACCUGGGAUGG
rnacentral:tRNA from 1 species